rnacentral:lncRNA from 1 species
AAAUGUGCAAAGUCAAAUAUAAUUAAUGAAUUUGCUGAUAUGGAAUCUAGUCAAUGAGUUUUAUUUGUGUAAAGUCAAAUAUAAUUAAUGAAUUUGAUGAUGUGUAAACUCAUACAAGGAUCACACUCUCACAAUGAAUUAGAAAAUUUAAGCAUAAUACUAAUGUAUUGGACUCAUGAGUUCAAUAUAUUAAACCCAUGAGUAUGUAUUUAACUAAUGAAUGUGAUAUCAAUAUAUUGAGCUCACACUAGCACUAAUAUUAUAAAUAUCAAAUUCAAAUUACAUAAUUCAUAUAUAUAUAUAUCAUACUCACUCAAAUUACUAUGAAAAACUUUACAAGUUACAAAUAAAAAUGCAAUAGAAUCAAGAUGAAAAGUAGAGUGUGAAAGAAACAAAGUGUCCAACAAAAAAAAAAGCUCAAUUAACUUUUUAACUUUUGAACUGUUAAUGUAUUUAUUUUGUAAGAUGGGUAUGAUUGGCAUCGAUCCCACACUUUAUAAGCUUCUUUUUAUUAUUGAAAGAAACCGAUGCAGGAGCGUAUCUUAUCCUUACAAAGCGGCUCUCCUCAGACUGCAUAAUGGCCUGACAUCAUACAACAGUCUAGAGAUCACAAACUUUGAAGUGAUACUUUGUAGUUGAACAACCAUUGACUAAUGUCUUGUUUUUAAUAGUUUAUUUACAAUGAGUUUAUAGCUUAGUUUGUUAAGAGCACUCUUACUUGCACUUGAAGUGUCAAGUUCGAAUCCCUUCUCUUCCAAUAUCACGUGUACUGAAAAAAGUGCAAUUUAAUUCAAAUUAAGUCUUAUAAGUUAUAUGGGUGACUGCACAAGAUGGUUCACAUUUAAGAGAAUUACUUGAAUUCUCACAUAUUUGUUGAAGGAACCAAAAACACAUUAGAUACUAUUAUCUUCUUUUGUUUGGACCAAAAAUUAGAUGAUAACUAGCUAAUGCAUUGAUUAGAAAUUCCUAAAUGUUAGGAGAAUCUCACAUAUAUACAUUGAAUCUUGAAUUGGUUGCUCACUAGAUAACCCUAAUGUGACAAUGACAA